rnacentral:rRNA from 1 species
AGAGUUUGAUCCUGGCUCAGGAUGAACGCUAGCUACAGGCUUAACACAUGCAAGUCGAGGGGAAACGACAUCGAAAGCUUGCUUUUGAUGGGCGUCGACCGGCGCACGGGUGAGUAACGCGUAUCCAACCUGCCCACCACUUGGGGAUAACCUUGCGAAAGUAAGACUAAUACCCAAUGACGUCUCUAGAAGACAUCUGAAGGAGAUUAAAGAUUUAUCGGUGAUGGAUGGGGAUGCGUCUGAUUAGCUUGUUGGCGGGGUAACGGCCACCAAGGCGACGAUCAGUAGGGGUUCUGAGGAGGAAGGUCCCCCANAUUGGAACUGAGACACGGUCCAAACUCCUACGGCAGGCA